UUUAGGUCUGUUUGGAGUUCCUGAUUCCAGGAGGACACAAUACGAUUUCACGACAGAAAAGUUACUAUAAGGGCUCCUCAUGUCUGCAGCACAACCGUGACACCCAGUGGUGAGAUUUCACGACAGAAAAGUUACUAUAAGGGCUCCUCAUGUCUGCAGCACAACCGUGACACCCAGUGGUGAGACCAAAGCCUUUCUUGUUUUUUCCAAGAAGAGCCAUGUGACCCUGUCAAAAGCUUUUUUCGGCAUCUGUGGUUGCUACUAAAGGCUAUCAGUUGACCUCUGAGCACACAUUUCCCCAUUUCCCAUACUGUAGCCGGACUAACAUCUGGACCAGAGUUUUCUCUUGUAACAAUUUUCUCUUGUAAAAUUAGUUGUAACAUCUCCAGUCUUUUGCUUUGUUUCUUUUUUAUGCAGUAAUAAAUGAUUAAAUCUCCAUGUGAAUUUUCUCUCAAUUAUUUGGGGCAAAUCUAUCUUAAGGGUAAAAGGAGAGUGAUCGGAAAGCAGUCCUAUAUCUAUAUUGGCUUUAGUUUCCAAAUGCAGCCACUCUAGUUAAAAAAAAAAAAUGUAUAAUCUAUCCCAGAGUACACUUGAUGGGUUUUUGAGAAGUGGGUGUAGUUCUUCUCCUUAGGAUGCAAGACUCUCCAAGUAUCCACUAAAUGCAUCUCUGCUAGUUUUUGUUUUAUUUUUUUAAUCGUUUAAAAGACAUAUGGCUUUUACUUUUAGAGAAGUUUAAACAUCAGAUUAAGAUCUCCACCCAAUAUAACUAAGCCUUCCUUAAAGAUGCCCAAUGUAUCUAGAAACUUAGUUAAAAAUUUCACUUGUGUUUGGUUUGGUACAUAAACAUUGGCUAUGGUGACUUUUAAUGCCCCUAUCUUUCCUUUUAUUAUAACAAAUCUACCGUCCUUGUCUUUUUUAUUAUCCUGUAUCUCAAAAGGUAAAUCUUUAUGAAUCAUUGUCAUUACGCCUGUUGCUUUCUUCUGUGGGUUGUUGCUAUAGUUUAUCUGAGUAUACUGUUUAUCCACAAGUUUUGGAUUAUGACCUUCUUUAAAGUGUGUUUACCAAAUCUAUUUUAGCUUGCAGCUUUUUACAAGUGUGAAAAAUUUUGACUCCUUUUGACAGGCUCAUUUAGCCCAUACACAUUAUAGCUUAAGACUGUACACAUAUUUUCGUCCAUUUUACUUUAUACCCUUUACAUUCACUGCCUUUUUGUCCUAAAUUGUUUUCUUUAAGAAUAGAAAAGGGAAAAAGAAAAAAAGAAAGAAGAGAAAAAAAAGUUGGAAAACAAGUAUGCUCACCAACUAGGCGAGAGUAAAGGUGUUGUUUUCUCUGGCUGUUUCCUAAGGGCGACUAAGUGUGCCUUGGCACCAUAUUGUUGGGUGAUGUGGUUGUCUUUUUUCUGUUUCCUACUGGAUGCAGCUGUGAUGCUGCACAUAACAUAAUUUUUAUCCUCUAGCCAGGGCAUACAAUAUUCUCGAUUUCCAUAUGGGCUUCUAUCCGUUUUCUAUUCUUUAUAAUUAGUUGCCUUCUUAACCCCGUGGCAAUAGGCCCAAUUCCAUGCUUCGUUAUAGUUCAUGCUUUUUAGUAUCCAAAAUUAAGAUUGAAACCCUCUAAUCCUUAAAAAUAGUGUCCUCUUUAUUUGCAUGACUUUUUGAACCUUUUACGUAGUUUCUAGGGAUGGACCAAAUUUUUUCACCUUGUUUUGCCGCAAAAAUGACGCCAAUAGA